rnacentral:misc_RNA from 1 species
UCUGCCUUAUCGGCAAGCGGUCUCACUAGAGUGCCCAACUGAAUGCUGGCAACUAGUGACAAGGGUUGCGCUCGUUGCGGGACUUAACCCAACAUCUCACGACACGAGCUGACGACAGCCAUGCAGCACCUGUCUCGACGUCCCGUAAGGGAACCCCUACUUUCAUAGGAUAGCGUCGGAAGUCAAGCCUAGGUAAGGUUCUUCGCGUUGCCUCGAAUUAAACCACAUACUCCACCGCUUGUGCGGGCCCCCGUCAAUUUCUUUGAGUUUUAAUCUUGCGACCGUAAUCCUCAGGCGGGGUACUUAAUGCGUUUGCUACGACACCGAGAGGGUAAGAACUCCCGACAUCUAGUACCCAUCGUUUACAGCGUGGACUAC